rnacentral:rRNA from 1 species
AUUGAACGCUGGCGGAAUGCUUUACACAUGCAAGUCGAACGGCAGCACGGGGCAACCUGGUGGCGAGUGGCGAACGGGUGAGUAAUACAUCGGAACGUGCCCAAUCGUGGGGGAUAACGUAGCGAAAGUUACGCUAAUACCGCAUACGAUCUACGGAUGAAAGCGGGGGAUCGCAAGACCUCGCGCGAAUGGAGCGGCCGAUGUCAGAUUAGGUAGUUGGUGGGGUAAAGGCUCACCAAGCCAACGAUCUGUAGCUGGUCUGAGAGGACGACCAGCCCAACUGGGACUGAGACACGGCCCAGACUCCUACGGGAGGCAGCAGUGGGGAAUUUUGGACAAUGGGCGCAAGCCUGAUCCAGCCAUUCCGCGUGCAGGAUGAAGGCCUUCGGGUUGUAAACUGCUUUUGUACGGAACGAAACGGUUCUCUCUAAUACAGGGGGCUAAUGACGGUACCGUAAGAAUAAGCACCGGCUAACUACGUGCCAGCCGCCGCAGUAAUAC